GCCGCGGUAAUACGAACCGCACGAACGUUUUUGGGAAUCACUGGGCUUAAGGGGUGAGUAGGCGGCCGAGUAAGUCAGCGGUGAAAUUUUGCAGCUUAACUGUAACAGUGCCGUUGAUACUGCAUGGCUAGGAUUUGGUUGCUGUGGGUGGAAUGUGUGGUGUAGCGGUGAAAUGCUUAGAUAUCACACAGAAUAUCGAUUGCGAAGGCAGCUCACAAAGCCAAGAUUGACGCUGAGGCACGAAAGUGUGGGGAUCAAACAGGAUUAGAUACCCUGGUAGUCCACACUGUAAACGAUGAUAACUCACUGCCGGCGAUACACAGUCGGUGGCCAAGCGAAAGCGAUAAGUUAUCCACCUGGGGAGUACGACCGCAAGGUUGAAACUCAAAGGAAUUGACGGGGGCCCGCACAAGCGGAGGAACAUGUGGUUUAAUUCGAUGAUACGCGAGGAACCUUACCCGGGCUCGAACGGUGCAUGAAUAAGCAAGAGAUUGUUUAGUCCUUCGGGACAUGUAUCGAGGUGCUGCAUGGUUGUCGUCAGCUCGUGCCGUGAGGUGUCGGCUUAAGUGCCAUAACGAGCGCAACCCUUGUUGUUAGUUACCAACAGGUAAAGCUGGGGACUCUAACGAGACUGCCACCGUAAGGUGUGAGGAAGGGGGGGAUGACGUCAAAUCAGCACGGCCCUUAUGUCCGGGGCGACACACGUGUUACAAUGGGGGGUACAGAGGGCAGCCAUCCGGUGACGGAGCGCCAAUCUCCAAAACCCUUCUCAGUUCGGAUUGGAGUCUGCAACCCGACUCCAUGAAGUUGGAUUCGCUAGUAAUCGCGCAUCAGCCAUGGCGCGGUGAAUACGUUCCCGGGCCUUGCACACACCGCCCGUAAGGGCG
rnacentral:rRNA from 1 species